rnacentral:rRNA from 1 species
CUACCAUGCAGUCGAACGGCAGCACAGAGGAGCUUGCUCCUUGGGUGGCGAGUGGCGGACGGGUGAGGAAUACAUCGGAAUCUACUUUUUCGUGGGGGAUAACGUAGGGAAACUUACGCUAAUACCGCAUACGACCUACGGGUGAAAGCAGGGGACCUUCGGGCCUUGCGCGAUUGAAUGAGCCGAUGUCGGAUUAGCUAGUUGGCGGGGUAAAGGCCCACCAAGGCGACGAUCCGUAGCUGGUCUGAGAGGAUGAUCAGCCACACUGGAACUGAGACACGGUCCAGACUCCUACGGGAGGCAGCAGUGGGGAAUAUUGGACAAUGGGCGCAAGCCUGAUCCAGCCAUACCGCGUGGGUGAAGAAGGCCUUCGGGUUGUAAAGCCCUUUUGUUGGGAAAGAAAUCCAGCUGGCUAAUACCCGGUUGGGAUGACGGUACCCAAAGAAUAAGCACCGGCUAACUUCGUGCCAGCAGCCGCGGUAAUACGAAGGGUGCAAGCGUUACUCGGAAUUACUGGGCGUAAAGCGUGCGUAGGUGGUCGUUUAAGUCCGUUGUGAAAGCCCUGGGCUCAACCUGGGAACUGCAGUGGAUACUGGGCGACUAGAGUGUGGUAGAGGGUAGCGGAAUUCCUGGUGUAGCAGUGAAAUGCGUAGAGAUCAAGAGGAACAUCCAUGGCGAACGCAGCUACCUGGACCAACACUGACACUGAGCACGAAAGCGUGGGGAGCAAACAGAUUAGAUACCCUGGUAGUCCACGCCCUAAACGAUGCGAACUGGAUGUUGGGUGCAAUUUGGCACGCAGUAUCGAAGCUAACGCGUUAAGUUCGCCGCCUGGGGAGUACGGUCGCAGACUGAAACUCAAAGGAAUUGACGGGGCCCGCACAGCAGUGGAGUAUGUGGUUUAAUUCGAUGCAACGCGAAGAACCUUACC